UUUAUGCAUAUUAGUGGUUGACUGAAAGAAGAAAGAAAGGAAAGGAAAAUAUGAAAAUAGAAUGGAUUGAUCGGUGUUGCUCCAACUCUUCUUCUUUAUCAGUGCUUGUGUCUCUGUUUUUGUUCCUCUUCUCUGCUGCUUCUGCUUCCACUUACAUAUCAGGAGUGAGAUGAUAUUUUUGGGUCUCACUCUUCCACCGGCCGGAACCUGCUUCAGGGCAAAGGUUUAUUUUCUUUUCAAUUACAGCCGCUUCUACACAAUUUAUAUGUAUAAUUGAAAUUAUUUGUGGGUUCAGUUAUAAUGCAUUAAUCUUCCAGAUUCAUGAGCUCA